rnacentral:rRNA from 1 species
GAUGAACGCUGGCGGCGUGCUUAACACAUGCAAGUCGAACGGAAAGGCCCUGCUUUUGUGGGGUGCUCGAGUGGCGAACGGGUGAGUAACACGUGAGUAACCUGCCCUUGACUGUGGGAUAACUUCAGGAAACUGGGGCUAAUACCGGAUAGGAGCUCCUGCUGCAUGGGGGGGGUUGGAAAGUUUCGGCGGUGGGGGAUGGACUGGCGGCUUAUCAGCUUGUUGGGGGGGUAGUGGCUUACCAGGGCUUUGACGGGUAGCCGGCCUUGGCGCGUGACCGGCCACCUUGCGCCUGCGGGACGGCCCAGACGCCUACGGGAGGCAGCAGUGGGGAAUAUUGCACAACGGGCGGAAGCCUGAUGCAGCAACGCCCCGUGCGUGAUGACGGCCUUCGGGUUGUAAACCGCUUUCGCCUGUGACGAAGCGUGAGUGACGGUAAUGGGUAAAGAAGCACCGGCUAACUACGUG